rnacentral:rRNA from 1 species
UGGGGAAUUUUGGACAAUGGGCGAAAGCCUGAUCCAGCAAUGCCGCGUGUGUGAAGAAGGCCUUCGGGUUGUAAAGCACUUUUGUCCGGAAAGAAAUCCUUGGCUCUAAUACAGUCGGGGGAUGACGGUACCGGAAGAAUAAGCACCGGCUAACUACGUGCCAGCAGCCGCGGUAAUACGUAGGGUGCAAGCGUUAAUCGGAAUUACUGGGCGUAAAGCGUGCGCAGGCGGUUUGCUAAGACCGAUGUGAAAUCCCCGGGCUCAACCUGGGAACUGCAUUGGUGACUGGCAGGCUAGAGUAUGGCAGGAGGGGGGUAGAAUUCCACGUGUAGCAGUGAAAUGCGUAGAGAUGUGGAGGAAUACCGAUGGCGAAGGCAGCCCCUGGGCCAAUACUGACGCUCAUGCACGAAAGCGUGGGGAGCAAACAGGAUUAGAUACCCUGGUAGUCCACGCCCUAAAACGAUGUCAACUAGUUGUUGGGGAUUCAUUUCCUUAGUAACGUAGCUAACGCGUGAAGUUGACCGCCUGGGGAGUACGGUCGCAAGAUUAAAACUCAAAUGAAUUGACGGGGUCAUAGCUGUUCC